GACGAACGCUGGCGGCGUGCCUAAUACAUGCAAGUUGAGCGCUGAAGGUUGGUACUUGUACCAACUGGAUGAGCAGCGAACGGGUGAGUAACGCGUGGGGAAUCUGCCUUUGAGCGGGGGACAACAUUUGGAAACGAAUGCUAAUACCGCAUAAAAACUUUAAACACAAGUUUUAAGUUUGAAAGAUGCAAUUGCAUCACUCAAAGAUGAUCCCGCGUUGUAUUAGCUAGUUGGUGAGGUAAAGGCUCACCAAGGCGAUGAUACAUAGCCGACCUGAGAGGGUGAUCGGCCACAUUGGGACUGAGACACGGCCCAAACUCCUACGGGAGGCAGCAGUAGGGAAUCUUCGGCAAUGGACGAAAGUCUGACCGAGCAACGCCGCGUGAGGGAAGAAGGUUUUCGGAUCGUAAAACUCUGUUGGUAGAGAAGAACGUUGGUGAGAGUGGAAAGCUCAUCAAGUGACGGUAACUACCCAGAAAGGGACGGCUAACUACGUG
rnacentral:rRNA from 1 species